AACGAACGCUGGCGGCACGCCUAACACAUGCAAGUCGAGCGCUACCUUCGGGUGGAGCGGCGGACGGGUUAGUAACGCGUGGGAACAUGCCCUUUACUAAGGAAUAGCCACUGGAAACGGUGAGUAAUACCUUAUACGCCCUUCGGGGGAAAGAUUUAUCGGUAAAGGAUUGGCCCGCGUUAGAUUAGAUAGUUGGUGGGGUAACGGCCUACCAAGUCGACGAUCUAUAGCUGGUUUGAGAGGAUGAUCAGCAACACUGGGACUGAGACACGGCCCAG
rnacentral:rRNA from 1 species